GACGAACGCUGGCGGCGUGCUUAACACAUGCCAGUCGAACGGAAAGGCCCUGCUUUUGUGGGGUGCUCGAGCGGCGAACGGGUGAGUAACACGUGAGUAACCUGCCCUUGACUAUGGGAUAACUUCAGGAAACUGGGGCUAAUACCGGAUAGGAGCUCGUGCUGCAUGGUGGGGGUUGGAAAGUUUCGGCGGUUGGGGAUGGACUCGCGGCUUAUCAGCUUGUUGGUGGGGUAGUUGCUUACCAAGGCUUUGACGGGUAGCCGGCCUGGGAGGGUGACCGGCCACAUUGGGACUGAGAUACGGCCCAGACUCCUACGGGCGGCAGCAGUGGGAAAUAUUGCACGAUGGGCGGAGGCCGGAUGCAGCAACGCCGCGUGCGGGAUGACGGCCGUCGGGUUGUAAACCGCUUUCGCCUGUGACGAAGCGUGAGUGACGGUAAUGGGUAAAGAAGCACCGGCUAACUACGUG
rnacentral:rRNA from 1 species